GUUCCGUCCCUCUGAUCGUCUACGUGGCCCUCCUCUGGACUUGCUCCAGCAGGAAUGUAAGCCUCUAAGUCCCACAAGCAAUGUGGCCUCUUAGAGAUAGCUGUGGCACCAACCCUCCCUAGUGGGGACUUUUUGAGAUCCAGUGAUGGAAUAAUGCUAGUUGCUUGCUGACCCCUGUGAUUAAAGUAAAUCUUGCAGGUAUUUCUAGAGAGAAGGAAGAGGAAAGGAGGCUGCCUCUUGGAUUCCCGAUAAGUGGAGUUCAUGAUAUUGUGCCUAGGAGAACCUAAUCAAGUAUUGGAAAGAAGGGAGUGUCCCAAUCAAUGAAAAUUAAAUUCAGAUGUGAACUUGAACAAUGUCACUGUCAGGUAAAAUAUAUAAGCCAGUGAGAAAAAGUAUGUUAAUGUGUCGUACUCUGGAAGGUAAUUAAUGGAAAAAUCAACACCCAUCCAGUUGAAGACAGCGAUGUUUCUGGUAACAAGUGAAAUCAUCCUGUGAGAGUCUCCCCAGCAUGCUUUGCAAUGUCUUGCACGGGCUUUUGCUAUUCAUUAAAGCUGUUAUUUAACUGCUCA